rnacentral:rRNA from 1 species
UACGGAGGGGGCUAGCGUUGUUCGGAAUUACUGGGCGUAAAGGGCGCGUAGGCGGCACCGCAAGUCGACUGUGAAAUCUCCGGGCUUAACCCGGAAAGGUCAGCCGAUACUGCGGGGCUAGAGUGCAGAAGGGGCAACUGGAAUUCUCGGUGUAGCGGUGAAAUGCGUAGAUAUGCGGAGGAACACCGAUGGCGAAGGCAAUCCCCUGGGCCUGCACUGACGCUCAUGCACGAAAGCGUGGGGAGCAAACAGG